UUUAAAGAGUGCGUAAUAGCUCACUGAUCGAGCGCCCUUGCGCUGAAGAUGAACGGGGCUAAGCGAUCUGCCGAAGCUGUGGGAUGUCAAAAUGCAUCGGUAGGGGAGCGUUCCGCCUUAGAGGGAAGCAACCGCGAAAGCGGGGAUCGACGAAGCGGAAGCGAGAAUGUCGGCUUGAGUAACGAAAACAUUGGUGAGAAUCCAAUGCCCCGAAAACCCAAGGUUUCCUCCGCAAGGUUCGUCCACGGAGGG
rnacentral:ncRNA from 1 species